rnacentral:rRNA from 1 species
GGACCCGCACAAGUAGUGGGAGCAUGUGGUUUAAUUCGAAGAUACGCGCAGAACCUUACCAACACUUGACAUGUUCGUCGCGACUUUAAGAGAUUAAAGUUUUCGGUUCGGCCGGACGAAACACAGGUGCUGCAUGGCUGUCGUCAGCUCGUGUCGUGAGAUGUUGGGUUAAGUCCCGCAACGAGCGCAACCCUCACUUUUAGUUGCCAUCAUUUAGUUGGGCACUCUGAAAGAACUGCCAGUGAUAAGCUGGAGGAAGGUGGGGAUGACGUCAAGUCCUCAUGGCCCUUACGUGUUGGGCUACACACGUGCUACAAUGGUAUCUACAAUAGGAAGCAAGAUGGCGACAUCAAGCAAAUCCUAAAAAGAUGCCUCAGUUCGGAUUGCACUCUGCAACUCGAGUGCAUGAAGCUGGAAUU